AUUGAACGCUGGCGGCAGGCCUAACACAUGCAAGUCGAGCGGCAGCGGGAAAGUAGCUUGCUACUUCUGCCGGCGAGCGGCGGACGGGUGAGUAAUGCCUGGGAAAUUGCCCAGUCGAGGGGGAUAACAGUUGGAAACGACUGCUAAUACCGCAUACGCCCUACGGGGGAAAGCAGGGGACCUUCGGGCCUUGCGCGAUUGGAUAUGCCCAGGUGGGAUUAGCUAGUUGGUGAGGUAAUGGCUCACCAAGGCGACGAUCCCUAGCUGGUCUGAGAGGAUGAUCAGCCACACUGGAACUGAGACACGGUCCAGACUCCUACGGGAGGCAGCAGUGGGGAAUAUUGCACGAUGGGGGAAACCCUGAUGCAGCCAUGCCGCGUGUGUGAAGAAGGCCUUCGGGUUGUAAAGCACUUUCAGCGAGGAGGAAAGGUUGAUGCCUAAUACGUAUCAACUGUGACGUUACUCGCAGAAGAAGCACCGGCUAACUCCGUGCCAGCAGCCGCGGUAACAC
rnacentral:rRNA from 1 species